UAGGGAAUCUUCCACAAUGGACGAAAGUCUGAUGGAGCAACGCCGCGUGAGUGAAGAAGGGUUUCGGCUCGUAAAACUCUGUUGUUAAAGAAGAACAUAUCUGAGAGUAACUGUUCAGGUAUUGACGGUAUUUAACCAGAAAGCCACGGCUAACUACGUGCCUAG
rnacentral:rRNA from 1 species